UAUUUCGUUAGUGGCGCACGGGUGAGUAAUGUAUAGCUAACCUGCCCUUUAGUGGGGGACAACAGAUGGAAACGUCUGCUAAUACCCCAUACUCCUGCGUAUCAUAAGAUAUGUUGGGAAAGAUUUAUUGCUAAAGGAUGGGGCUUUAUGGUAUCAGCUAGUUGGCGGGGUAACGGCCCACCAAGUCUACGAUGGAUAGGGGUUCUGAGAGGAAGGUCCCCCACAUUGGAACUGAGACACGGUCCAAACUCCUACGGGAGGCAGCAGUGAGGAAUAUUGGUCAAUGGACGAGAGUCUGAACCAGCCAAGUAGCGUGAAGGAUGACUGCCCUAUGGGUUGUAAACUUCUUUUAUAAGGGAAUAAAGUGAGGGACGUGUCCCUUUUUGUAUGUACCUUAUGAAUAAGGAUCGGCUAACUCCGUGCCAGCAGCCGCGGUAAUACGGAGGAUCCAAGCGUUAUCCGGAUUUAUUGGGUUUAAAGGGAGCGUAGGUUGACAUAUAAGUCAGCUGUGAAAGUUUACGGCUCAACCGUGAAAUUGCAGUUGAUACUGUAUGUCUUGAGUGUACAAGAGGUGGGCGGAAUUCGUGGUGUAGCGGUGAAAUGCUUAGAUAUCACGAAGAACUCCAAUUGCGAAGGCAGCUCACUGGGGUACAACUGACACUGAGGCUCGAAAGUGUGGGUAUCAAACAGGAUUAGAUACCCUGGUAGUCCACACAGUAAACGAUGAAUACUCGCUGUUUGCGAUAUACAGUAAGCGGCCAAGCGAAAGCAUUAAGUAUUCCACCUGGGGAGUACGCCGGCAACGGUGAAACUCAAAGGAAUUGACGGGGGCCCGCACAAGCGGAGGAACAUGUGGUUUAAUUCGAUGAUACGCGAGGAACCUUACCCGGGCUUGAAUUGCAGAGGAACAUAGUUGAAAGAUUAUGGCCGCAAGGUCUCUGUGAAGGUGCUGCAUGGUUGUCGUCAGCUCGUGCCGUGAGGUGUCGGCUUAAGUGCCAUA
rnacentral:rRNA from 1 species